UCUUGUAUAUAUUUUAAAAAUAAAUUAAAAAGAUGUAUAUAUAUAUAUGGUUUUAAAAAAUUUGUUAGAAUCUUAUAUGGACAUGGUUUUUAUUUGGAGAUAUAAGUUGGCAAUUUAAAGAUUUUUGAGUUUGAAAAAUGGUGUAUCAAUCCAUGUAAAGAAGACAAGACCAUUUGUAUUAUUUGAUUUUUUUUUUCCUAAUUUAUUCUCUUUUUUUAAUUUCUUAAAAUAAUUCAU
rnacentral:lncRNA from 1 species